UGGCUCAGACGGUAAAGCGUCUGUCUACAAUGCGGAAGACCCAGGUUCGAUCCCUGG
rnacentral:tRNA from 1 species